rnacentral:rRNA from 1 species
UACAGAGGGUGCAAGCGUUGUUCGGAAUUAUUGGGCGUAAAGCGCACGUAGGCGGUUUGUUAAGUCGGAUGUGAAAUCCCUCGGCUCAACUGAGGAAGUGCAUCCGAAACUGGCAGGCUUGAGUACUAAAGAGGGUCGCGGAAUUCCCGGUGUAGAGGUGAAAAUUCGUAGAUAUCGGGGAGGAACACCGGUGGCGAAGGCGGCGACCUGGGUAGAUACUGACGCUGAGGUGCGAAAGCGUGGGGAGCAAACAGG